GUGGGGAAUAUUGCACAAUGGGCGAAAGCCUGAUGCAGCGACGCCGCGUGAGCGAUGAAGUAUUUCGGUACGUAAAGCUCUAUCAGCAGGGAAGAUAAUGACGGUACCUGACUAAGAAGCACCGGCUAAAUACGUGCCAGCAGCCGCGGUAAUACGUAUGGUGCAAGCGUUAUCCGGAUUUACUGGGUGUAAAGGGAGCGUAGGCGGCGUGGUAAGUCAGAAGUGAAAGCCCGGGGCUCAACCCCGGGACUGCUUUUGAAACUAUCAUGCUAGAGUGUCGGAGAGGUAAGUGGAAUUCCUAGUGUAGCGGUGAAAUGCGUAGAUAUUCGGAGGAACACCAGUGGCGAAGGCGGCUCACUGGCUCGAUACUGACGCUGAGGUGCGAAAGCGUGGGGAGCAAACAGGAUUAGAAACCCGGGUAGUCC
rnacentral:rRNA from 1 species